UUGGUGCGGAUGUCACAAGAGAAGUUGCUCAGAAUUGUUUGGAAUUGAAUAACAGCAGUGAGAAACAGCCCCUCAUUGGCCCGCUAUAGAGAAAUCAUAAAGCUCAACUGGCAAGAGAUUGGGCAGGGAAAGUAAGACAUGUCUCUUCUCAUAAAGUCAGCAAAGGCAUUCCAUAACCACACAGAGCAGUCAGCACGUGUGUCAUCAGACAGAAGUGGAAGUUUUGAUGUUGAGAAUCCCAGCUGCAUAUUUCUAGCAUGAGGGGCUUGCUGUCUGCUCAGUAAAAGAACAGACUGGAUCCAAGAAAAGAACACGGUCUUGUCCCUGACAGAGAUCCAAAUGUCUUCUAAUUAGAAUUCUACCAUACAACAAGAAGUAAUAGCAUUAACAAUACUUUACACGUGGAAUCUUUUGCAUCUAUCUACAAAUCUGCAAGGAAGUUUCUCCUGCAGGCCUGGGCCCUUUGGGAUUUGCUGAGCUUUUUCAAACCUGUAGAAGGAGUAAUCUGUUCACCAAUAAGGAAAUUUAUUUAGUGUUAACAUCUGUGGUCCCUUUGUGGCCUAUCAACCUCCAACCAUGAAAAGGAAUGUUUGAAAUGGACUUUUCUGGGACACCACGGAAACCUUACAGAUGACAUCUGAGCCAUGGGUUAUGACGACUUUGGAAAACACCACAGUAAAUACUUGUUGUCUUAAUUUUCCAACAUAAGUGAAAACAGAUGUUUGCACUGAAUGGCCAAUAAAGAACAAGUAUUA